CGGGCGGUAGCUCAGCUUGGUAGAGCUUCCGGCUGUAGACCGGAUUGUCGCAGGUUCAAAUCCCGCCCGCCCGACCA
rnacentral:tRNA from 1 species